GCUAGCGGCAGGCUUCAUACAUGCAAGUCGAGGGGCAGCAUAAAUUACUUGUAAUUUGAUGGCGACCGGCGAACGGGUGCGUAACGCGUAUGCAACUUACCUUUUACUAGAGAAUAGCCAAGAGAAAUUUUGAUUAAUGCUCUAUGUUUUUAUUAACUCGCAUGAGUUAAUAAGCAAAGCUCCGGCGGUAAAAGAUGGGCAUGCGUCCUAUUAGCUUGUAGGUGAGGUAACGGCUCACCUAAGCUCCGAUAGGUAGGGGUCCUGAGAGGGAGAUCCCCCACACUGGUACUGAGACACGGACCAGACUUCUACGGAAGGCAGCAGUAAGGAAUAUUGGACAAUGGAGGCAACUCUGAUCCAGCCAUGCCGCGUGAAGGAAGACGGCCUUAUGGGUUGUAAACUUCUUUUAUACAGGAAGAAACCUUUCCACGAGUGGAAAGCUGACGGUACUGUAAGAAUAAGGAUCGGCUAACUCCGUGCCAGCAGCCGCGGUAAUACGGAGGAUCCAAGCGUUAUCCGGAAUUAUUGGGUUUAAAGGGUCCGCAGGCUGUUUGUUAAGUCAGAGGUGAAAUCCUACCGCUCAACGGUAGAACUGCCUUUGAUACUGGCAAACUUGAGUUAUUGUGAAGUAGUUAGAAUGUGUAGUGUAGCGGUGAAAUGCAUAGAUAUUACACAGAAUACCGAUUGCGAAAGCAGAUUACUAACAAUAUACUGACGCUGAGGGACGAAAGCGUGGGUAGCGAACAGGAUUAGAUACCCUGGUAGUCCACGCCGUAAACGAUGGUCACUAGCUGUUCGAUGUACAUUGGUACAUUGAGUGGCUAAGCGAAAGUGAUAAGUGACCCACCUGGGGAGUACGCUC
rnacentral:rRNA from 1 species